rnacentral:rRNA from 1 species
ACUCAAAUGAAUUGACGGGGGCUCACACAAGCGGUGGAGCAUGUGGCUCAAUUCGAAGCAACGCGAAGAACCUUAUCCUGGGCUUGACAUGUAUGGAUUAGUCUCCUGAAAGGGAGAUAACACCCGCAAGGGCGGAACAUACACAGGUGCUGCAUGGCUGUCGUCAGCUCGUGCUGUGAAGUGUCGGGUUAAGUCCCUCAACGAGCGAAACCCCUGUCGUUAGUUGCUAAGGCGCAAGCCAGGACUCUAACGAGACUGCCGGCGUCAAGCCGGAGGAAGGUGGGGAUGACGUCAAGUCCUCAUGGCCUUUAUGCCCAGGGCUGCACACGUGCUACAAUGGCACUUACAAAGCGACGCAAGACCGCAAGGUGGAGCAAAUCGCAGAAAAGGUGCCCCAGUUCAGAUUGGAGUCUGCAACUCGACUCCAUGAAGUUGGAAUCGCUAGUAAUCGCGGAUCAGCUAUGCCGCGGUGAAUGUGUUCCUGAGCCUUGCACACACCGCCCGU